GUGCUCACUUUGGCAGCACAUAGACUAAAAUUGGAACAAUACAGAAAAGAUUAGCAUGGCGCCUGCGCAAGGAUGACAUGCAAGUUCAAAUUAGUGAAGCAUUCCAUAUUUUC
rnacentral:snRNA from 1 species